CACGACACAGUUAAUGUUCUUUAUUUCAAGUAUGACAAUAAAAAUUCAAUUCACUAUUAAAAACUAACAGCAAUGGACAUAACUAGUAGGAUGCCAAGGUGUCAUUAGCACCCCCAAGUUUAAAAUUAGCGGCCCCAAAAAACCCCAAUAAGCUUUUUCAUAGUAAUUAUAAAAUAUUUUAUCCGUGUAUUUCAUGAUUAAUGACCAGAACAAAAUACAGAUUUCUUACAGACAAUCCAUGCGUAUUAGGUAGGUACAUAUAUAAUAUAUGAAAAUUAUGUUAAAAUAGUUGUGCAUAAAUUUGUGUAUACAAAAUUGUAAACGAAAUGCGUAGUUGCAAGAACCAUGUAAAGGGGACUGCGGGGGCGCAAUCCCCAUGUAAUUUUUGAUGUUUCCAUAAUUCUAGCAUCCCCAAAGUUGGCAGUCUAGUUGCGCCUAUGGUAACAAACAGCAGUUGUUCCUGUUGAAAGACAAUUUUGGCUGUUAUAAGACGGAGAGAGCACAAGCGGAUAUAUUAUCUCCUUAAGUAGGGGAUAUCUGUUAUUUUCGAUUGUGUUCUUGUUAUAAUUCAAUUUAAAAAAAAUUGUAGAGAUUUAAAAUUUGUAAAAAAAAAUAUUCUGGCAGUUUUUGAGCUAUGUAUUUGAAGUAUUCAGUUUUUUUUUUUUU